rnacentral:lncRNA from 1 species
CAGCUUUGGCGGCAGCGGUCGUCACAAGAGUCAUAUUCAUUGUUUUAACUGCGAUGAGAUAGGCCACUAUCAAUCUCAGUGCAAAGCUCUCAAGAAGCAAGAGGCGGCGCAUCUUGUGCAUGUUGAGAACACCGACCUGGCACUACUGCUUGCAGCUCUGGAGGAGCCUCUUUCAGUGGCCCUUGCAUGGCAGGAGGUUGUGUUACUUAGUGAAAAGAAAGUGAUGCCAGAGCUGCGCUUGGCUG